GCGGCGGCACCACACAAACAAGGACGCUGAUUGGGCAGCUGCCAAGCGCCUCGGCACCGCCUUUCCCACACGCCACGACGCCCAUUGGGCAACCUAAGCCGGUCUCCCCGCCCUCUUCUUCUCAGCGAUACCAAUAGGAGACGGGAUGCCGGGACUACACCCCACCCUUGAAGAGCGCAGCCUCUGGAAGUACCACAGAAGGUUCCAGAAGAUGAUGGGGUGGGCAGCAGGCAGCUCAGGCAACGCCAGCACCUCACUGCCCUCGUUCUCUACCAGUGACUCCAGCUCCUUACGCAGCACCAGGGGGCUCAGGGAAGGCGGCUGAAAGGAUCCAGGGGCGUCACUGAGGCGCUCUGAGGAACGGCGAAGGCUCAGGCUGCUGAGAGAAGAUUCUGAGAGGUCCCACUCACUACCCAGAGAAGCCGAGCUCUGCCAUUACAUGAGAAAGCAUGGUCAGCCAACUCCAUCUGUUCUUCACCCAGGAUGCUGGCUUCAACCACCCCUCAGAAACGCCUCUCUGGGCACUCUCCCAGCUAUCAGCCUCUCCCCAGGCUUCACUGGCUACCUCAGAGGCAGUGGAUCCAGGGCGCUCCCGGGGGCGCAGAAGACUGUCCAUGGGGCUGCGGCGGGCUGGGGGAGGCAGG